AGUGGGGGAUAACGUAGCGAAAGUUACGCUAAUACCGCAUAUUCUGUGAGCAGGAAAGAGGGGGAUCGCAAGACCUCUUGCUUUAGGAGCGGCCGAUGUCGGAUUAGCUAGUUGGUGAGGUAAAGGCUCACCAAGGCGACGAUCCGUAGCGGGUCUGAGAGGAUGAUCCGCCACACUGGGACUGAGACACGGCCCAGACUCCUACGGGAGGCAGCAGUGGGGAAUUUGGACAAUGGGCGCAAGCCUGAUCCAGCCAUGCCGCGUGAGUGAAGAAGGCCUUCGGGUUGUAAAGCUCUUUCGGUGGGGAAGAAAUUGCACAGGAUAAUACCUUGUGUAGAUGACGGUACCCGCAUAAGAAGCACCGGCUAACUACGUG
rnacentral:rRNA from 1 species